UCCUGCUGCAUCCCUAAUGUGAAAGCACAUUGACCAUUAAUAUGGUCACCACCACAUUGAUCGCAAAGUUGUUGAGCUUGGGAAAUAUUUCUGAGCCCCCAAGGAAGUUCAGAGACCACCUUUAGUAACUUGUCCAAUUUCUGACUGAGGAGGUGAUUUUGUACUGCUGCUGCAUCUUCAGUGGGAAGAUGUAACAGUCCUCCUUUUUGC
rnacentral:lncRNA from 1 species